rnacentral:rRNA from 1 species
GACGAACGCUGGCGGCGUGCUUAACACAUGCAAGUCGAACGGAAAGGCCCUGCUUUUGUGGGGUGCUCGAGUGGCGAACGGGUGAGUAACACGUGAGUAACCUGCCCUUGACUUUGGGAUAACUUCAGGAAACUGGGGCUAAUACCGGAUAGGAGCUCCUGCUGCAUGGUGGGGGUUGGAAAGUUUCGGCGGUUGGGGAUGGACUCGCGGCUUAUCAGCUUGUUGGUGGGGUAGUGGCUUACCAAGGCUUUGACGGGUAGCCGGCCUGAGAGGGUGACCGGCCACAUUGGGACUGAGAUACGGCCCAGACUCCUACGGGAGGCAGCAGUGGGGAAUAUUGCACAAUGGGCGGAAGCCUGAUGCAGCAACGCCGCGUGCGGGAGGACGGCCUUCGGGUUGUAAACCGCUUUCGCCUGUGACGAAGCGUGAGUGACGGGAAUGGGUAAAGAAGCACCGGCUAACUACGU